UAGGGAAUCUUCCACAAUGGGCGAAAGCCUGAUGGAGCAACGCCGCGUGUGUGAUGAAGGCUUUAGGGUCGUAAAGCACUGUUGUAUGGGAAGAAAUGCUAGAAUAGGGAAUGAUUCUGGUUCGACGGUACCAUACCAGAAAGGGACGGCUAAAUACGUGCCCG
rnacentral:rRNA from 1 species